GGCCCUCUGGCGGAACUGGAAGACGCACCGGAUUCAAAACCCGGUGCCCAUUCGGGCGUGCGGGUUCGACUCCCGCGGGGGCUACCG
rnacentral:tRNA from 2 species